CCAAUAGCGUAUAUUAAAGUUGUUGCAGUUAAAAAGCUCGUAGUUGAAUUUCGGGAUCAAUAUGUCGGUCGUGCCUCGGUACGUACUGGUAUCAUUGGUUUCUCCCUUCUGAUGAACCAUGAUGCCAUUAAUUUGGUGUCGUGGGGAAUCAGGACUGUUACUUUGAAAAAAUUAGAGUGUUUAAAGCAGGCUCACGCUUGAAUACAUUAGCAUGGAAUAAUGAAAUAGGACGUUUGAUUCUAUUUUGUUGGUUUCUAGGACCGACGUAAUGAUGAAUAGGGAUAGUUGGGGGCAGUAGUAUUCAAUUGUCAGAGGUGGAAUUCUUGGAUUUAUUGAAGACUAACUACUGCGAAAGCAUUUGCCAAGGAUGUUUUCAUUAAUCAAGAACGAAAGUUAGGGGAUCGAAGACGAUCAGAUACCGUCGUAGUCUUAACCAUAAACUAUGCCGACUAGGGAUCGGAUGAUGUUAAUUUUUUAAUGACUCAUUCGGCGCCUUACG
rnacentral:rRNA from 1 species